AUGGCCUGGACCCCUCUGCUCCUCAGCCUCCUCGUUCACUGCACAGGGUCCGCGACCUCCUAUGUGGUGACUCAGGCACCCUCGGUGUCGGUGCCUCUGGGACAGAUGGCCUCGAUCACAUGCUCUGGAGAAAAGCUCUCAGAUAGCUAUGUUCACUGGUACCAGCAGAAGCCAGGCCAAGCCCCUUUGCUGGUCAUCUAUGAGGAUAACAAACGGCCCUCAGGGAUCCCAGACAGAUUCUCCGGCUCCAGCUCAGGGAACACAGCCACCCUGACCAUCAGCGGGGCCCAGAAUGGGGACGAGGCUGACUAUUACUGUGCCACAGCUCGUGGCAGUGGGAGCAGCUGGCUGUGGGGUGGAGGUGGGUGA